rnacentral:rRNA from 1 species
AGUGAACGCUGGCGGUAGGCCUAAUACAUGCAAGUCGAACGGCAGCACAGUAAGAUUUCGCCCUUACGGGUGGCGAGUGGCGGAUGGGUGAGGCAUACAUCGGAAUCCACUAUUACGUGGGGGAUAACGUAGGGAAACAGCUGCUACUACCUCAUAUGUCCUACGGCUGGAAGCAGAAGAUCUUCGCACCCUGCCCGACACAAUUAGACGGUGCCGGAUUAGCUAGUUGGCAGGGUAAGGGCCCACCAAGGCGACGAUCCGUAGCUGGUCUGAGAGGAUGAUCAGCCACACUGGAACUGAGACACGGUCCAGACUCCUACGGGAGGCAGCAGUGGGGAAUAUUGGACAAUGGGCGCAAGCCUGAUCCAGCCAUACCGCGUGAGUGAUGAAGGCCUUCGGAUUGUAAAGCUCUUUUGUUAGGAAAGAAAAGCAGCAGGAUAAUCCCUCCCUGUUCUGACGGUACCCAAACAGUAAGCACCGGCUAACUUCGUG